UACCACUCUAAAUCCCCCACCGCACUCGUCCAAGAGGAAGCAUAAAGGGGUGCAGAAGAGGGAAACAAAUGAGAAGGGGAAGGUGGGGACCGCCUAGGGCGGCACGGCAUGGAAUCGCAGCGGCGGCGGCGGCGGGGAGUUAGAGGAGGGUGGGUGGUUGAGACCCCUGCGCGCAGCCGCGGCGGCGGCGGUAGCGGCAAGGGGAAGAAGCAGCUGAGGGUCUUGUAGCGCGGUCCCGACAGGACGAUGGCAGAGGGAGGAAAGCUCCUACGAUAUUGGCUAUAUCGUAAACCUCUUCCCGGUGUGAUAAAAAAUGUAACUAGAGCCGUGGCUGGCUGCUGCGUGUCCUUCCGUCGUCCACCUAGUUGGCUGAGGUGGUACCCCCCGACCAAGAGAAAGGGCCCAUUGCUGCCCGCACGUUAGGGUUCUCUCACCCGUCAACGUCGACCUAACCUACGGUGAGGGAAGUUGUACGCAGCUGACUUCUUGCACCCAGCGGGGCCGGGCGCGUGUGGUCUUCUUAAGCUGCGGAUGGUGUAAGCGUUAGAGCGCGCGACCCGGGAGGCUGUAAUGUUGAGGUCGGUGGGCCCACGACUCAAGGCCACGGGACUAGUCGGGUGGUGGCUCCGCUUCCGUCGGACACAACCGAAGUCCCUUCUAGAGACCAUGGUGGAGUUGAAGAACCGGACGGAUUUCCUACUGCCGCUGCUCGUCUCGAAGAAGCGGCUCGAUGCGAUACAGGCCACAAGGUCGUGUUAUUAGUAGCUUUGUACGUGGUAGAAUCUUUUUGGCAAAACGGGGAAAUCUUCGUCAACGUGUAACACAGGUCUACUUAGGUUCUAAAACGUAGGUUCGCUACACCUCGAACCCACACCCUUCCUCCCGGUGGUUCUCCUUAAGAAGGCGCUCUCCACACCUACCUUGCCUGUACAUUUCCUUAAAAAGUCAGGUUCCCUCUACGAUCGCUAUGGGAAGUUCAAUCCUCCUGGUCACGGAGCUAUAUCUGACCUCAUUGGUACUAAAUGAGGAUGAAAGUCAAGUCAACAUUACAAUAUGAUGAAAAUCGGAACAUUUAAAUAAUAAAGGAUAGCAGUUACGUAACCCCCAUGUUCGAAACACAAAAGAGAUCUUCUUUACCUGGAGGUGCUCACUUAGACACUCUUUAAUUUAAACACCGUCAAAACCGUGUUUCUUCAUUCGGAAAGCAAAGUGGAGAUCCAACAAGUUACAUUUGUUACGUAAGGCAUUUUAAUAACUGAUAUGUUCGAAACGCGUGCAUCUUGAAAGAAAAGAAACAAUAAUGACUCUGACAAACUCACAAACGCAAC
rnacentral:rRNA from 1 species